rnacentral:rRNA from 1 species
UACGUAGGGGGCUAGCGUUGUCCGGAUUUAUUGGGCGUAAAGAGCGUGUAGGCGGCCAGGUAGGUCUGCUGUGAAAACUCGAGGCUCAACCUCGAGACGUCGGCGGAAACCAUCUGGCUAGAGUCCGGAAGAGGAGAGUGGAAUUCCUGGUGUAGCGGUGAAAUGCGCAGAUAUCAGGAAGAACACCAACGGCGAAGGCAGCUCGCUGGGACGGUACUGACGCUGAGACGCGAAAGCGUGGGGAGCGAACAGG